AGAGUUUGAUCCUGGCUCAGAACGAACGCUGGCGGCAGGCUUAACACAUGCAAGUCGAACGCCCUCUUUUAGAGGGAGUGGCAGACGGGUGAGUAACGCGUGGGAAUCUACCUAGUGGUACGGAACAACACAGAGAAAUUUGUGCUAAUACCGUAUACGCCCCGAGGGGGAAAGAUUAUCGCCAUUAGAUGGGCCCGCGUUUGAUUAGCUAGUUGGUGAGGUAAUGGCUCACCAAGGCGACGAUCAAUAGCUGGUCUGAGAGGAUGAUCAGCCACACUGGGACUGAGACACGGCCCAGACUCCUACGGGAGGCAGCAGUGGGGAAUAUUGGACAAUGGGCGCAAGCCUGAUCCAGCCAUGCCGCGUGUGUGAUGAAGGCCUUAGGGUUGUAAAGCACUUUCAACGGUGAAGAUAAUGACGGUAACCGUAGAAGAAGCUCCGGCUAACUUCGUGCCAGCAGCCGCGGUAAUACGAAGGGAGCUAGCGUUGUUCGGAAUUACUGGGCGUAA
rnacentral:rRNA from 1 species